rnacentral:rRNA from 1 species
GAUGAACGCUGGCGGCGUGCCUAAUACAUGCAAGUCGAGCGAACAGACGAGGAGCUUGCUCCUCUGACGUUAGCGGCGGACGGGUGAGUAACACGUGGAUAACCUACCUAUAAGACUGGGAUAACUUCGGGAAACCGGAGCUAAUACCGGAUAGUAUAUUGAACCGCAUGGUUCAAUAGUGAAAGACGGUUUUGCUGUCACUUAUAGAUGGAUCCGCGCCGCAUUAGCUAGUUGGUAAGGUAACGGCUUACCAAGGCGACGAUGCGUAGCCGACCUGAGAGGGUGAUCGGCCACACUGGAACUGAGACACGGUCCAGACUCCUACGGGAGGCAGCAGUAGGGAAUCUUCCGCAAUGGGCGAAAGCUUGACGGAGCAACGCCGCGUGAGUGAUGAAGGUCUUCGGAUCGUAAAACUCUGUUAUUAGGGAAGAACAAAUGUGUAAGUAACUAUGCACGUCUUGACGGUACCUAAUCAGAAAGCCACGGCUAACUACGUG